rnacentral:rRNA from 1 species
GACGAACGCUGGCGGCGUGCCUAACACAUGCAAGUCGAGCGAUGAAGCCCUUCGGGGUGGAUUAGCGGCGGACGGGUGAGUAACACGUGGGUAACCUGCCUCAAAGAGGGGGAUAGCCUCCCGAAAGGGAGAUUAAUACCGCAUAACAUUAGUUUUUCGCAUGAAGAACUAAUUAAAGGAGUAAUCCGCUUUGAGAUGGACCCGCGGCGCAUUAGCUAGUUGGUGAGGUAAAGGGUCACCAAGGCGACGAUGCGUAGCCGACCUGAGAGGGUGAUCGGCCACGUUGGAACUGAGACACGGUCCAGACUCCUACGGGAGGCAGCAGUGGGGAAUAUUGCUCAAUGGGCGAAAGCCUGAUGCAGCAACGCCGCGUGAGUGAUGAAGGCCUUCGGGUUGUAAAGCUCUGUCUUUUGGGACGAUAAUGACGGUACCAAAGGAGGAAGCCACGGCUAACUACGUGCCAGCAGCCGCCGUAACAC